rnacentral:rRNA from 1 species
AGAGUUUGAUUCUGGCUCAGGAUGAACGCUGGCGGCGUGCUUAACACAUGCAAGUCGAACGAAGCACUCUUUUAGAUUUCCUUCGGGGAAGAAGAAAUUGUGACUGAGUGGCGGACGGGUGAGUAACGCGUGGGCAACCUGCCCCAUACAGGGGGAUAACAGCCGGAAACGGCUGCUAAAACCGCAUAAGCGCACAAGGGCCGCAUGGCCUGGUGUGAAAAACUCCGGUGGUAUGGGAUGGGCCCGCGUCUGAUUAGCUAGUUGGCGGGGGAGAGGCCCACCAAGGCGACGAUCAGUAGCCGACCUGAGAGGGUGGCCGGCCACAUUGGGACUGAGACACGGCCCAAACUCCUACGGGAGGCAGCACUGGGGAAUAUUGCACAAUGGGGGAAACCCUGAUGCAGCGACGCCGCGUGAGCGAAGAAGUAUUUCGGUAUGUAAAGCUCUAUCAGCAGGGAAGAAAAAUGACGGUACCUGAGUAAGAAGCACCGGCUAAAUACGUGCCAGCAGCCGCGGUAAUACGUAUGGUGCAAGCGUUAUCCGGAUUUACUGGGUGUAAAGGGAG